rnacentral:lncRNA from 1 species
CUUUAAAUAAUAAAAUUUAACUGUCGAGAGUGGAGAAAUAUCGUAAUACACGAGUUAUAGUGUCGGAAUCUGUUUCUCUAAUGCUUUUUAUCGUUCUUUUUCAAAGAUUUUCAGAAAAUUGUGCUCUUUAUAUGCGACGUCAUCAGGCAAGGUCGCCUUUUUUCAUGACGUCACAAUAGGAAAAUUGAGAAGAAAACAAAACAUUUUGACGUCAUAAUCAAAUUUCGACUAAUCAUUUGCAGAGAACAGAUUUUUCACUAGUGAGGAGAAAUAUUUUUCUCACACCGGUCAGGAAAUGUGAAAAUAGCACAAAAAUUAGAGAAAAGUUUUUACA